rnacentral:rRNA from 1 species
UUUAGAAUUAUUUUAUUUUUGUAAAAUAUUUUAAAGAUAUUUAUGUUUAGUAAUUUAUAUUGAAGAAUGAAAUAAAAUAAUAGUGAAAUAGUACAGUAAUGGAAAAGUGAAAUAAAAUGAAAUAUUUAUUAAUUUUUUAGAAAAGAUUAAAUCUUGUACCUUUUGUAUCAGGGGUGAAUGAUAGAAAUUAUAAAUUUAUUAUUCCCAAAGAAAAAAGAGUUAUUAUAAGGUGGGGAUUAAUGUGGCAAAAUUAAGAUUAAUUUUAUAAUAGAAGUGAAAUGCUAUUCGAUUUUUUUUAUAUUUGGUUCUUUAAUAAAUGAAUUUAGUUCAGCUUUUGAUAAUAAAUGUAGUUUUUUUUAUUUUUGUUUUUCAGGAAGUGAGUACUAAAGGGAUAAUCUUUUAGUAAAUUUAUAAUAGUUGAAAAUUAAAUUAUAAGGAGAUUUAGAAGUGCUUAUUUUAUGUAAUAAUGGAUUUUUGGAUAGUUUUUAAUUUUUAAAUUAGUAUUAAAGAUGUUUUUAUAAUUAUUAUUAAAUUUUUAUAAUAUUUAUAUUAGUAGAAUGAAGAGAAAAUGUAUUAGUUUAGAAAAUAGUAUUGAGAAAAUAAGGAUAAGAAAUUAAAUUAAGGAAUUCAGCAAAAAUUUUUUUCGCCUGUUUAUCAAAAACAUGGUUUUUUGUUGUGAAUAAAAAAUCUGAUCUGCCCAAUGAUGAAGAAUUAAAUGGCCGCGGUAUAUUGACCGUGCGAAGGUAGCAUAAUCAUUUGCUUUUUAAUUGAAGGCUGGAAUGAAUGGUUGGACGAAAAAAGUCUGUCUUAGUUUUAGUUUUUAAAGUUUACUUUUUAGUGAAAAGGCUAAAAUUUUACUAAGGGACGAGAAGACCCUAUUAAGCUUUAUUUUUGUUAUUUUUUAUUAUAUUUUUCAUUAUAAAAAAUAAGAGGAAUUUUACUGGGGCGGUAGAGAAAGAAAAAAAUCUUUUUUUAGAAGUUAAAACAUUUAUGUAAAUUUUUGAUCCAUUUUUAAUGAUAAUAAGAAAGAGUUACUAUAGGGAUAACAGCGUAAUUUUUUCGGAGAGUUCAUAUCGGCGAAGAAGUUUGCGACCUCGAUGUUGAAUUAAAGAGUCAAUAGGGCGAAGAAGUUCUAAAUGAGGGUCUGUUCGACCUUUAAAUCUUUACAUGAUUUGAGUUCAGACCGGCGUGAGCCAGGUCAGUUUCUAUCUUUAGUAAAAGUUGAAAUUAUUUUAGUACGAAAGGACCAAAUAAUUAAAAUUUUGUUUGUUUUAUUAAUAUUAAUUUAAAAAUA